rnacentral:rRNA from 1 species
GAUGAACGCUAGCUACAGGCUUAACACAUGCAAGUCGAGGGGCAUCAUGUCGGUUGCUUGCAACCGAUGAUGGCGACCGGCGAAUGGGUGAGUAACGCGUAUCCAACCUGCCCCCGGCCGGGGUAUAACCCGUCGAAAGGCGGCCUAAUCCCCCAUGCAGUCCUCUGAGGUCCUCCGAUGAGGAUGAAAGGUAUUUUUCCGGCCGGUCGAUGGGGAUGCGUCCGAUUAGCUUGCUGGCGGGGUAACGGCCCACCAGGGCUUCGAUCGGUAGGGGUUCUGAGAGGAAGGUCCCCCACACUGGUACUGAGACACGGACCAGACUCCUACGGGAGGCAGCAGUGAGGAAUAUUGGUCAAUGGGCGGAAGCCUGAACCAGCCAAGUAGCGUGCAGGAUGACGGCCCUAUGGGUUGUAAACUGCUUUUGCGCGGGGAUAAAUUGGGAACGUGUUCCCCCUGC